rnacentral:rRNA from 1 species
ACAGAGCUAAAAUUUUAAGCCUAAGCACUAAGACUUUAUAGUUAAAACUUAAAGGACAUGGCGGCGGUAUUUAUUCAGGGGAACUUACCAGAUAAAUGACAAUCCACAAGAGACCACCCUAAACUUUAAAGCAUGUAUACCACCGUCAAGAACUCACUUUAGGUAAGUUCAAUUAGUUUUCCACCUAAAGACAGGUCAUGGUGCAGCCUAUAGUUUAGUUCUAGGCGAGUUACAAUAUUCAAUUUAUAUAUUUUCUUCCUAUGAAAAAGGAAGAAAAGUAGGACUUGAAAGUAAACUUCUCUUUAAAAGAAAUACCUAUUGAAUCUUCUUUUACCGUGC